rnacentral:piRNA from 1 species
UGCCAAAGUGUUGAGGGACCGCCUGAGU